rnacentral:rRNA from 1 species
GCUUGCUCCGCUGACGAGUGGCGAACGGGUGAGUAAUAUAUCGGAACGUACCAUUCAGUGGGGGAUAACGUAGCGAAAGUUACGCUAAUACCGCAUAUUCUGUGAGCAGGAAAGCAGGGGAUCGCAAGACCUUGUGCUGAUUGAGCGGCCGAUAUCAGAUUAGCUUGUUGGUGAGGUAAAAGCUCACCAAGGCGACGAUCUGUAGCGGGUCUGAGAGGAUGAUCCGCCACACUGGAACUGUGACACGGUCCAGACUCCUACGGGAGGCAGCAGUGGGGAAUUUUGGGCAAUGGGGGCAACCCUUAUCCAGCCAUGCCGCGUGAGUGAAGAAGGCCUUCGGGUUGUAAAGCUCUUUCAGCCGGGAAGAAAACGCAUGGGUUAAUACCCUGUGUGGAUGACGGUACCGGAAUAAGAAGCACCGGCUAACUACGUGCCAGCAGCCGCGGUAAUACGUAGGGUGCGAGCGUUAAUCGGAAUUACUGGGCGUAAAGCGUGCGCAGGCGGUUUUGUAAGACAGGCGUGAAAUCCCCGGGCUUAACCUGGGAACUGCGUUUGUGACUGCAAGGCUAGAGUACGGCAGAGGGGGGUGGAAUUCCACGUGUAGCAGUGAAAUGCGUAGAGAUGUGGAGGAACACCAAUGGCGAAGGCAGCCCCCUGGGUCGAUACUGACGCUCAUGCACGAAAGCGUGGGUAGCAAACAGGAUUAGAUACCCUGGUAGUCCACGCCCUAAACGAUGUCAACUAGGUGUUGGGAGGGUAAAACCUUUUAGUACCGGAGCUAACGCGUGAAGUUGACCGCCUGGGGAGUACGGCCGCAAGGUUAAAACUCAAAGGAAUUGACGGGGACCCGCACAAGCGGUGGAUGAUGUGGAUUAAUUCGAUGCAACGCGAAAAACCUUACCUACCCUUGACAUGCCAAGAACUUUCCAGAGAUGGAUUGGUGCCCGAAAGGGAACUUGGACACAGGUGCUGCAUGGCUGUCGUCAGCUCGUGUCGUGAGAUGUUGGGUUAGGUCCCGCAACGAGCGCAACCCUUGUCGUUAUUGCCAUCAUUUAGUUGGGCACUUUAACGAGACUGCCGGUGACAAACCGGAGGAAGGUGGGGAUGACGUCAAGUCCUCAUGGCCCUUAUGGGUAGGGCUUCACACGUCAUACAAUGGUCGGUACAAAGGGUCGCCAAGCCGCGAGGUGGAGCCAAUCCCAAAAGCCGAUCGUAGUCCGGAUCGCAGUCUGCAACUCGACUGCGUGAAGUCGGAAUCGCUAGUAAUCGUGGAUCAGAAUGUCACGGUGAAUACGUUCCCGGGUCUUGUACACACCGCCCGUCACACCAUGGGAGCGGGUUCCGCCAGAAGUAGGUAGCCUAACCGCAAGGAGGGCGCUUACCACGGCGGGGUUCGUGACUGGGGUGAAGUCGUAACAAGGUA